UACGUAGGGUGCAAGCGUUGUCCGGAAUUAUUGGGCGUAAAGCGCGCGCAGGCGGUUCAUUAAGGCUGGUGGGAAAGCUCCCGGCUCACCUGGGAGAGGGCACUGGAGACUGGUGGACUGGAGCGAGGCAGAGGCCGGUGGAAUUCCCGGUGUAGUGGUGAAAUGCGUAGAGAUCGGGAGGAACACCAGUGGCGAAGGCGGCCGGCUGGGCCUUGACUGACGCUGAGGCGCGACAGCGUGGGGAGCGAACCGG
rnacentral:rRNA from 1 species